rnacentral:rRNA from 1 species
GACGAACCGUGCGAACGUUGUUCGGAAUCACUGGGCAUAAAGGGCGCGUAGGCGGCUUAUCAAGUCAGGGGUGAAAUCCGGCAGCUCAACUGUCGAAGUGCCUUUGAUACUGAUGAGCUUGAGGGAGGUAGGGGUCUGUGGAACUUCCGGUGGAGCGGUGAAAUGCGUUGAUAUCGGAAGGAACGCCGGUGGCGAAAGCGACGGACUGGAUCUCUUCUGACGCUGAGGCGCGAAAGCUAGGGGAGCAAACGGG